rnacentral:rRNA from 1 species
AUUGAACGCUGGCGGCAGGCCUAACACAUGCAAGUCGAAUGGUAACAGGAAACAGCUUGCUGUUUCGCUGACGAGUGGCGGACGGGUGAGUAAUGUCUGGGAAACUGCCUGAUGGAGGGGGAUAACUACUGGAAACGGUAGCUAAUACCGCAUAACGUCGCAAGACCAAAGAGGGGGACCUUCGGGCCUCUUGCCAUCAGAUGUGCCCAGAUGGGAUUAGCUAGUAGGUGGGGUAACGGCUCACCUAGGCGACGAUCCCUAGCUGGUCUGAGAGGAUGACCAGCCACACUGGAACUGAGACACGGUCCAGACUCCUACGGGAGGCAGCAGUGGGGAAUAUUGCACAAUGGGCGCAAGCCUGAUGCAGCCAUGCCGCGUGUAUGAAGAAGGCCUUCGGGUUGUAAAGUACUUUCAGCGGGGAGGAAGGGGGUAAAGUUAAUACCUUUGCUCAUUGACGUUACCCGCAGAAGAAGCACCGGCUAACUCCGUG